UACGUAGGGGGCAAGCGUUGUCCGGAAUCAUUGGGCGUAAAGCGCGCGUAGGCGGCCCGGUAAGUCCGCUGUAAAAGUCCAGGGCUCAACCCUGGAAAGCCGGUGGAUACUGUCGGGCUAGAGUCCGGAAGAGGCGAGUGGAAUUCCUGGUGUAGCGGUGGAAUGCGCAGAUAUCAGGAGGAACACCGAUGGCGAAGGCAGCUCGCUGGGACGGUACUGACACUGAGAGACGAAAGCUAGGGGAGCGAAUGGG
rnacentral:rRNA from 1 species